rnacentral:rRNA from 1 species
UAAGGAAUAUUGGUCAAUGGACGCAAGUCUGAACCAGCCAUGCCGCGUGGAGGAUGAAGGUCCUCUGGAUUGUAAACUUCUUUUAUCUGGGACGAAACACUUCUUUUCUAAGAGGCCUGACGGUACCAGAUGAAUAAGCACCGGCUAACUCCGUGCCAGCAGCCGCGGUAAUACGGAGGGUGCAAGCGUUAUCCGGAUUCACUGGGUUUAAAGGGUGCGUAGGUGGGCAGAUAAGUCAGUGGUGAAAUCUUCCGGCUUAACCGGGAAACUGCCGUUGAUACUAUUUGUCUUGAAUAUUGCGGAGGUAAGCGGAAUAUGUCAUGUAGCGGUGAAAUGCUUAGAUAUGACAUAGAACACCAAUUGCGAAGGCAGCUUACUACACAAUCAUUGACACUGAGGCACGAAAGCGUGGGUAGC